GCAGACACGUGGCAGCUGCAAGGUGCAAACCGGACGCACCGGGGGAUUAGCAGCCCCGAGCUGGAUCUCACGUGCUCUUGGGUUCCCAGACUGGAUUGCAGGGCAGGAAAGGACUGGACAGAGCAAACAGCUGGAGAAGCUGCCCGCCCGCCUGCUCUGCACAGUGCCCCUUCCCCACUCCAUCCCUAGACAGGAGGGUAGCUCUGGCCUGGGGUCCAACUUGCCGGUAGCUUUUGCUCAUCCACCGCUUGCCUCUGGCUGGCUGGGUGUGUGUGUGUGGGUGUGUGUGUGUGUAAUGCACACCCAGAGAACCUGUUAACCCUUCUGCCAAGCUGUUGUGGGGGCAACUGAUGAGAGGACAGCCAGGCUGUCUGCUUGGGCCCUGGUGCUUCCUUCUUGCUAAGCUGGUGAAGGAAUCAAAAAUCAGCCCUGAAAUGACUGGGAGGCUCCAUGGAUUUCUUCUGCAGAAGCUCCCUUGAGGCUGGGGUCCCAGCUGGAGGGCAUCACAGUCCGGCAUCGCUGCCAAGUCGGUGGCUAGAUGUCUGCAGGUCGUGGAGUUGGGGCAUCUCUCACUGAGCUGAGCGUCCAUGGAACCCUGCAGGUUGUGUUUCACUCACUCCAGCGAUGUUAUCUUUGUGUUUGCUUUGAUCCUAAAAGAAGAAUCCAGCCCUAGGGCCCCGGCUUGCUGUCUGGUUUCCUGCAUGGGCCCCGUUGCUGAGACAGGGGCUUGGUGCAUCUCUUUCCGUCCCACGAUGCUUGGGAUUUCCCCACCUGCUUGUGAUUCCAGCAUUGGGCAUCGGGGAGCGGAUGUGCCCGAAUGCACCGGCGCA